rnacentral:rRNA from 1 species
UGCCAGCCGCCGCGGUAAUACGGAGGGUACGAACGUUAAUCGGAAUUACUGGGCGUAAAGCGCGCGUAGGCGGUUUGUUAAGUGGGAUGUGAAAGCCCCGGGCUUAACCCGGGAACUGCAUUCCAAACUGACAGACUAGAGUAUGGUAGAGGGUAGUAGAAUUUCCUGUGUAGCGGUGAAAUGCGUAGAUAUAGGAAGGAAUACCGAUGGCGAAGGCAGCUGCCUGGACCAAUACUGACGCUGAGGUGCGAAAGCGUGGGGAGCAAACAGGAUUAGAUA